UACGAGGGGGGCGAGCGUUGUUCGGAAUUAUCGGGCGUAAAGGGCGCGUAGGCGGUCGGAUAAGUCUUGUGUGAAAUCUUCGGGCUCAACUCGAAGUCUGCACAGGAAACUAUCUGGCUUGAGUGUGGGAGAGGUGAGUGGAAUUCCUGAUGUAGCGGUGAAAUGCGUAGAUAUCGGGAGGAACAUCAGUGGCGAAGGCGGCCAUCUGGGACAACACUGACGCUGAAGCACGAAAGCGUGGGGAGCAAACAGG
rnacentral:rRNA from 1 species